GAAAAAAAGCUUGGCGAAGGAAAAUAGGUGGCUCGAGAACUUGACCGUAUACGCUUCUACACGGACUGAUUGCCUAACUACCGGAUUAUUUCACUGUUUGGACCUCCAUGAUGGAGGAAACCAAAAUAAUAUAUCAUAUUGACGACGAAGAUACUCCGUACUUAGUUAAACUGCCGAUUCCUUCUGACCAAGUCACUUUGGCGGAUUUUAAAAAUGUACUUAAUCGGCCAAAUUACAAGUUUUUCUUUAAAUCUAUGGACGAUGAUUUUGGUGUUGUAAAAGAAGAAAUUGUUGAUGAGGACACCAAACUUCCAUGUUUCAACGGCCGUGUUGUAUCUUGGUUGGUAGCGGCAGAAGGUAGUAGUAUAUCAGAUAGCACAUCACAAUGCACUGAAUCCCAGGCAGAUAUUCCAUUGGAACGGACAGGUGGAAUCGGAGAUUCCAGACCUCCAUCUUUUCAUGCUAAUGCAGCCGGAAGUUCAGAUAAAUUAGAUGACACAACAGAAACAGAAUCGGUUAGCAGUUCAAGAAGAGAUCGACCUCGAAGAAAAGACAGGCAUCAUGAUGAUUUACCUAGAAUCAAUGGACAUAAACAUCGGAGUAGCCACAGUGGCCAUGGUUACGAGAGUUCAUCCACCUUGAUGAGCAGUGAUAUAGAAACUACUAGCUACUUUGACUCAACAGAUGAUGACAGCAGUCGAUUUAGCAGUGCAACGGAACGCAGCGGUUCAUCUAGACUAAUGAGAAGCAGGCAUAAAAGGCGUAAAAGGAAACCACGCAUGCCUAGAGUCGCACGAACUUCAUCUUUUAGCAGCAUAACAGACUCCACAAUGUCACUGAAUAUUAUCACUGUAACACUCAAUUUGGAUAAAAUUAAUUUCUUGGGAAUAAGUAUAGUAGGACAAAGUAACAAAGGAGGGGAUGGAGGAAUUUAUGUCGGUUCUAUUAUGAAGGGGGGUGCUGUUGCAGCAGACGGUCGAAUUGAACCGGGUGACAUGAUUCUACAGGUACAAGACACAAGUUUUGAAAACUUAAAUAAUGACGAAGCCGUGCGGGUGUUGAGAGAAGCCGUGCAAACUCCUGGACCUAUAAAAUUGAUUGUUGCUAAAUGUUGGGAUCCAACUCCAAAAGGCUACUUUACAAUUCCCAGAAGUGAACCUGUCAGACCCAUCGACCCUGGUGCUUGGGUAGCUCACACAAAUGCAAUGAAACAUUUUCCUCACUCAGAAUAUGGACGUCCAGGCCCGAUGAGUCCGUCAAUGACAUCAAUGACGUCAACAAGCUCCUCAAUCACUAGUUCCAUACCAGAAUCAGAACGUAAGUAUCCAGGGAGUAGUGGAUCUAACCAUAGCCAAGAAAAAGAGCGACGUAGUCGUAAAGGCAGCUCAGGUCAAGGAAGUGGUAGUGAAUGCGAGAACUUACUUUCAAGAGGACGAACUUCCAGUCGAGAUGAACUACCACCUCCUCCUCCACCACCUCCUAGACAGCUUGGCAGUGUGCCAGAGGACAUUGCCGGUAGCCGACAAUCAUUUCGUAUGGCUAUGGGAAACCCAUGUGAAUUUUUUGUGGAUGUGAUGUGAAGUGAAUUGCAGUCGUCAUCAUUUCAUGAGUACAUAUGUUGUUCGUAUUGCCAGCAAGGCACCUCUGCACAAAACCAUGUUGAUGUAGUACAUAAAUAAUAUGGCUGGGUGGUACACUUGCAUGUUAGGAAUAAAAUGUAGCAACUUGAGGGGA
rnacentral:sRNA from 1 species